AACCUUAUGGACCUGCGGGCGUAUACCUGCGGAAGGAUCAUUACAUGGCGGAGAAGGUGGGCACCUGGCCAAAAAAAACUCCAGGUUGUCAUGCCUUCACGCUCUUCCACCCUUGUCUAUUUGUACCUUUUGUCGUUCCCUCGGCGGGUUUCGACCCGCCGGCGGUAACCAUUGAAAACCCUUUUUGCAGUUUAGCACCCAAUUCUUCUGAUCAAAUAUCAAAUCGUUACAACUUUUAGC
rnacentral:misc_RNA from 1 species